rnacentral:lncRNA from 1 species
GGGCAGCGUUUGGGGCACCUCUGGUGGCAGCUGGCUGACACCAAGCUUGUGGGGCUUAUCGCAUGGGACACAUGAACGAAGAAGGGUUUCCGAAGUGUCUUUAGAUAACCUCUAGGAAGAGGAAAACCAGGGGUUCAGAUGUCCUGUCUCAGGUUGAGAAGUCACUUCUCAACCCAUUCUCAUCAUUGUGAAAUUUAGCAUGAAAUGACUGCCUUGAGACCCUGGAGCAGGGUUACCCCCUCUCCGUUCUGCAGCCAUCAACGUCUACAAGCAUGCCAUCGUGUUCUCUUAAAGUAUCUGAAGAUCAACACAUUACCUCACCAAGAAGAUUCAAUCUCCUCUCAAAGAUGACCCCAUGUAGUCUACAUGUGCAAAAGAAUGUUUCUGCCACUUAAUGGUGGUGCAGUUUCCUCCAUUCUGCAAUGAAAACAUUGAAGAACAAGCUUACUUUCUGGACAAAUAAAGGUUUUUGUUUUCGUUUUGUAGGAAUUUUG